UUUACUGAGAGUUUGAUCCUGGCUCAGGACGAACGCUGGCGGCGUGCCUAAUACAUGCAAGUCGUGCGGACCUUUUAAAAGCUUGCUUUUAAAAGGUUAGCGGCGGACGGGUGAGUAACACGUGGGCAACCUGCCUGUAAGAUCGGGAUAACGCCGGGAAACCGGGGCUAAUACCGGAUAGUUUUUUCCUCCGCAUGGAGGAAAAAGGAAAGACGGCUUUUGCUGUCACUUACAGAUGGGCCCGCGGCGCAUUAGCUAGUUGGUGGGGUAACGGCUCACCAAGGCAACGAUGCGUAGCCGACCUGAGAGGGUGAUCGGCCACAUUGGGACUGAGACACGGCCCAAACUCCUACGGGAGGCAGCAGUAGGGAAUCUUCCGCAAUGG
rnacentral:rRNA from 1 species